rnacentral:rRNA from 1 species
UUAANCGUAAAAUUGCCAUUGAUACUGUUGNUCUUGAGUUUGGUUGAGGUAGGCGGAAUGAGUAAUGUAGCGGUGAAAUGCUUAGAUAUUACUCAGAACACCGAUUGCGUAGGCAGCUUACCAAGCCGACACUGACGCUGAGGCACGAAAGCGUGGGGAUCAAACAGGAUUAGAUACCCUGGUAGUCCACGCCGUAAACGUUGAUUACUCGUUGUUGGCAAUAUAUCGUCAGCGACUGAGCGAAAGCAUUAAGUAGUCCACCUGGGGAGUACGUCAGCAAUGAUGAAACUCAAAGGAAUUGACGGGGGCCCGCACAAGCGGAGGAACAUGUGGUUUAAUUCGAUGAUACGCGAGGAACCUUACCUGGGCUUAAAUGUAGAGUGCAUAGAGUGGAAACAUUCUUUUCCUUCGGGACCCUUUACAAGGUGCUGCAUGGUUGUCGUCAGCUCGUGCCGUGAGGUGUCGGGUUAAGUCCCAUAACGAGCGCAACCCUCAUCGCCAGUUGCCAUCACAUUAUGGUGGGGACUCUGGUGAAACUGCCGGUGCAAACCGUGAGGAAGGUGAGGAUGACGUCAAAUCAGCACGGCCCUUAUGUCCAGGGCUACACACGUGUUACAAUGGCUGGUACAACAGGCAGCUACCACGCGAGUGGAUGCUAAUCCCCAAAACCAGUCUUAGUUCGGAUCGGAGUCUGCAACCNGACUCCGUGAAGCUGGAUUCGCUAGU